GUCUGUCUGUAAAGUCCUGGGCCUGCAUAAGCCUGCCGUUCUUCUUGGCUGCCUCUGGCUUUCCACCCCCAGGCCAGAAGCAGAGUGAGAGAAACCAUUGUUCUUGUGGCGGUUGUCUUUUAAAAAUUGGCCAUUUGAGGCCCUUUCAACUGACUUCCCAUUGUACAUAGAGGAAACCCAAGGACCAGAAAAGUAGGGUACCGUCCCCCCGUGUUAAGUGGCAAGCUGUGCCUCCGAGCGCAGACUAAGAGCCCUUUCCCAGACACUGGGCGCUGUGCCCAGGGGCUCGUCUCCGGCCACGCUGUGGCUGUGAGCUACCAGCACUCAGCUCUGCUCUUAGCACAGCUCUGGGCUCAGCUAAUGCUUGUCCUGCAAGGACCACAGAGGCACAUCUUCUGCCCUCAUGGUGUACAGAGGAGGAAACUGAGGCCCGGAGAGGAGGACUGGCUGGCUGCUCUGGGUCACACAGAUGACUUUGGAACGAGUCACAGCCCUUCCCUGGUCCUCACCUGCACAGGGUGUCAAUGGUGAUCUCUGGCCUCACGCAUCCCCUGAGGGCUGACAUCCCCUGAGGGUGACUUUUCUUUGAAAGUUAUAAAGUGAAGGACUUUACCACAAGUGUAAGGAAAUAAAGAGAAGCAGAAACAGAGAGAGAGCGAGCAAGGAAGAAAGAAAAGAAGGAAGAAAGGAAGAAAGAAAGAAGGAAAGAAAAAAAGAAAGAAAAAGAUAAAAAGACAAAGAAAGAAUCAUAGUGGUAACUCCCGGGAAAACCGCUGUUACCAUUUUGGUGGCGCUCCUUCCAGACUUUUCUCUGUGCAUGACUAUCAAAAUACCUAGAUGUACCUGUGUGUUAAAGACUAUAGCAUAAUAUUUUCUAUGUUGUUUUAUAAAGUUUUCUCUCUUUUCCACUUACCAAUAUUUUGAUAACAUUUCAUCUUGUCAACGAAUGUUCAUCUCCAGCGCCUUUUUUCCCUUGCGGCUGUGGACACCUCGUGGACGGGUCUACUGUGUUUGGGUGGGGACAUGGAGGCCCAAGGCCCCACAGCAGGUGAUGGAAGUGCCAAGCCCAGUGACCAGCCUGGGGUCCAUUCUGUGCCAGCUCACCUGCAGGGAGCAUUGCUGCUGAGGUCACAGUUCCUGGAGCCAGACUGCUCCUGGCACCGCCAUGCACACUCACGGUCAGAUGUGUGACAAUGGGAGUCGGACUUCAGAGCGGUUAUAGCUUCUUCCAGUGCCAAAGCGGAGGCUUCCUGGACGCAGCCCGGGACGGAGCGGCCUGGCAGAUGGGGACGUGGCGGGCGUUAUGGGCUGAAUUGUGUCCCCCUCCCCAGAAAUUCACAUGUUGAGGUCCUAACCCCAGUGUCAGAAUGUGGCUGUAUCUGGAGACAGGGUCUUUAACGAGGUAAUUGAGUUAAAAUGAGUUCAUUUAACCCAAUGUGACUGGUGUCCUUACGAGAAGAGGGGAUCAGGACACAGACACACACAGAAGGAAAAGCACGUGAAGAUAUGGGGACAAGGUGGCCACCGACAGGCCAAGGAGAGAGGCCGCAGGAGAAACCGGCCCUGCGGACACCUUGAUCUUGGACUUUGAGCCUCUAGAAUUGUGAGAAAAUAAAUUUUGUUGUUUG
rnacentral:lncRNA from 1 species